CAAAACAGAGAAGAAUGGAGAAAUCAUCUUACCUCAUAAGUGCUGGUGAUACCAGAUCUGUAGAACACAGGGAGAAAGAGCUCUGAUGUUAAGAUGAUGACAAAUAGGUAAGCAAUGAAGAAGAUUAUGAAGGAUGCCCCAAAGCGGUAGACUUCAGAAGGGGUCCCCAGGACCGUGACAGCUGACAUGAAGCUGGCUGUCAGAGACAAGGCGACAGGGCCAAAGCUCAUUUGCCUUCCCCCAACCAGGAACUCUCGGGAAGUUGCCUUUUUCCUCUCCUUAAUGGCAAAGAACACCCCAAUUCCAGAGGAAACCAAAAAGAGGGCUGCAAAUACAACAUAAUCCCAAAUUGCAAAGUUCUUCGCCUCCAUACUGGAAAGUAUGACACCAGAGAGCUUCUUUCAAUGAGGUAUCAGGAAGAAGACGUUUUCAAAAGCAAAGUUCAGUACAGUGGAUGCUUUGCUGAGAGGAGAGGCUGUGAUUCCCUGAAGAAAAUGAUUACCAGAGGCACUUGUGCGAAUCUUCAGACACCAAGGUGUACUUAAGGAAGAUCUCAAAAGUUGACUUCAAAGAAGAAUCUGGUGGUGGUAUUGCCACCAAUAGAUGAGAAUCUGAAAUCUGACCCUGGCAAAGAGCUGUCUGCUCCUCUCCUAAAGCAUAGCCACGGAGAAGGAAUUCAGAAGUGUUCUGAAAUUAUAACCACUGGGGGUGGAAUGGACUGGCCAGAUAACAUGCUGUUUUAUCUCUUAGAUUUUUUUUUUCUAACUUAAGGUUAAACAUUACUGGGAAACAUAGAAUUGAUAACAGUUGACCACCUCAGCAUUUUUAAUUCGUGAGAUGGAAUCUGUAAAAUGCAAACACAAUCCUCAGCAGUGUCUUCCUCCUGAGGAAGGGAAAGUGAAGGCUGUGUGCCUGCAAUUGUCUGACGCAGUGGCUGUGGAGGGAAAGGAGCAAAGGACUAGGAAUCCAGAGACCUUUGCUCGAGUCCUGGCUCAACCACGAGAAAGCCGUGAUACAUUUCAUAAGUCAUUUAACAUUUCUGAACUUCACCUGGAACACAGGGAUAGUAAGACCUUGCAAGGUUUUUCAGUCUUAAACUUCCUGACUCUCUUCGUCCUGAUCGUAAAAUGAAAGUCCAUGGGAAUGAUAUUGGAGAUGUCGUAGGAGUGAAGACAAAGAAGUGGCACAAAAAUCUGGCUGGUGGCACGGACAUUUCUCAAAAAAUAUCAUAGUGUAAGGAAGAGCUGAUGAGAUUUUAAUAACGGGAAUAACUCAUAUUAAGUAUUACUUUUUGUUGUGCUGUGCUGGGGGAUAAAUUCCUUCUUUACUCUCAACCUUUAGGGAAAACUUGCUACAUCAUUGACAUUGUAUUGUUAUUUUCUCAUUAAAUUAAAGGGAAA